UGACAAGAUCCCAUACUACGCAGCUCAAAUGAUCAAAAAGCAAAUGAAUGCCACGUGGAUUUUUGCAGGUAUGAAGUCAAAGAACAAACUUGAAGAAAAAGCAAACAAAUCCAAUGGAGGCAAUCAUGGAGAUCAAACAGAAAAAAGGCAUCCCCACUAUUAUUCUAGAAGAAUAGUAGGCUGAAAAGCGGUGGGCGAAGCAAAGCAAGCCAGAUAGG
rnacentral:misc_RNA from 1 species